rnacentral:rRNA from 1 species
CCCUUAGAUGUUCUGGGCCGCACGCGCGCUACACUGACGAUGGCAACGAGUUUUUCCUUCGCCGAAAGGUGUGGGUAAUCUUUUGAAACAUCGUCGUGCUGGGGAUAGAUCAUUGCAAUUUUUGAUCUUGAACGAGGAAUUCCUAGUAAGCGCGAGUCAUCAGCUCGCGUUGAUUACGUCCCUGCCCUUUGUACACACCGCCCGUCGCUACUACCGAUCGAAUGGUUUAGUGAGGACUCCUGAUUGGCGCCGCCGCCCCGGCAACGGAGCAGCGGACUGCCGAAAAGUUGUUCAAACUUGAUCAUUUAGAGGAAGUAAAAGUCGUAACA